CCUACGGGAGGCAGCAGUGGGGAAUAUUGGGCAAUGGCCGCAAGUCUGACCCAGCAACGCCGCGUGAAGGAAGAUGGCUUUCGGGUUUUAAACUUCUUUUAAGGGGGAAGAACAGAAGACGGUACCCCUUGAAUAAGCCACGGCUAACUACGGGCCAGCAGCCGCGGCAAUCCCUAGGUGGCAAGCGUUGUCCGGAUUUACUGGGUGUAAAGGGCGUGCAGCCGGAAAGAAAAGUAAGAUGUGAAAUCCACGGGCUCAACGCGUGAAGUGCAUUUGAAACUGUCUCGCUUGAGUGUCGGAGAGGUACGAGGAAUUCGUGGUGUAGCGGUGAAAUGCGUAGAUAUAAGGAAGAACACCGGUGGCGAAGGCGGAUUACUGGACGAUAACUGACGGUGAGGCGCGAAAGCGUGGGGAGCAAACAGGAUUAGAUACCCGAGUAGUC
rnacentral:rRNA from 1 species